ACAGCGCAGAGCCAGCUUCAGGAUGCACUGUGGGCUUCGCCUGAUAGCGCAGCGAUGUUAAUGUCGUCUCAUCAGCCAUGAGCAGCGCACCAUGCCAACAGGCCAUGCUAAUGACAGAAUUGAGGGGAGGGGAAGUGCUGAUUUCAUUAUUUAUGCCCACGGGAGUGUUAUGCACAUUCUUAGCCAUUUUGUGCAGAUUCUUACAUUGAAAUACAACUACUGUCAAAAGGGAGUCAAGUGAGGUAAACGAUUAUGCCACAAUGAAAAGAGCUGUGCCUAUGCUUGCUCCAUGAUGCUUUUCUUUGUUGGGAUUAAUUUCUCGGUUGCGCAGCAUCUGCAGGUG